AGGGAGGGAGAGGGAGAGGGAGAGAGAAACAGGAACCAGGUCUCCUGCGCUUCCUCCCAGAGAUAAAGGCUAUUCUUAGCAGUAACAUAGGCUUGGCAUUUGGGGAGACUUGUAUUUCUCUCCCUCUCGCCCCAGGGGCUUUGCACAUUGCAAUUUCUCCCCUCCAAGCAGAGAAGAAAGAGAAGAUGAAUAGGGAGAGAGAUAAGGAAAGGAAAGAGGGAGGCGCGCCAUCGCUCGUGCCCUGAGAGGCUCUUCUGGGGAUUUAUUUUGGAAGGCUGCUCCGAAGGUCAGAACUGGGCGGGGAACGGCUCUCACCCCAGCCCCAGAAGGGCAGUUUAAUUCUAGCCUCCCUUUUGAGGCAAGAAGACGAAAAGCCAAAUGAAAUCCCUUUGGGCCUUUCCGCAGCACUUUGUAUGUGGCACGUGUUUCAUAAAUGUUCAGCCAAGCCCCUGCGUGCACUCUCAUUAGGCUGGGUCUCUCAGGACUGCCCUCACUGGGCCUUAGGACCUUGGCAGUCAGAGCAUUCAAGCGCUGGCAUUAGACAGUAGGCUUCAGUGAAGCCAGGAGCUUGGAAAAUACAAAAAUAAAUAAAAAAUAAAUAAAAAUGUAAAAAUGGGGUGUGCAAAGCUCGAGAAAUUACGUAAUUCGAUUUCACCUUGGGCCCAGACGGUGAAGUUCUGCAUAGUGGCCAGCAGGGGGCGCUCAGGCAGUGUGUCAGAACCCCAGCGCGCAGGUUGCCUGGAGCCCAACCAAGGGACAAACAAAACAAUGCAGCUUUGCGGUUUCUGUUAGGUUUUCAGUUCGGGGAGGCUUAAUCCGGGACCGCCUGAUCUCUAUCCUGGGCUCCUAGUCCUGUGUGUCCCUGAGAGGAAGAGACUGAUAUCAGAUCUGGUGGGACAUCAUACUCUUCAAUCUUGUCACUAUAACUUUCUCCUGGAGCCAUGGAAUGUAGCAGUGGUAUGAUCUGAUCCCGCCUGUCCCUGUCCUGCCCAAUACUUGAUGGCUGUUCUUUCCUAGUUCCAGAACCUGAUUGGACCAAGUUUAAGGCCAAGGGAGCAGAAGCCGGAGGAAGAGACACUCUCUAAGCAUUGAACCAAAAGCUAUCCAGAUAGAACACUGUGAAGGAUAAGCAGAAAGUGUCCGUCGUUCAAUGACUUCAUUUGAAUCAGAACUAACAACCACCACAACAAAGUAGGGGGACAGUCAUUUCUAAGCCUUGAUGUCUUAUAAGCUGGGCAAACUAAAGUGUACCGUAACCAUAUGUCACACUGAAACUGGGUGAUUUGAGAUGUGGCAGGGUGCAGGGCCCUCAGAGGAGGGAGUGGUCAGCAAAACCCAGAGGAAGGCUUCUGUGUGGAGAGGAUAGGCUGAAGGGAGCUAAAACUUUUGGUCAGCGGAGCAAGAGAAAGCUGGGAAAGCUAGGAAAGAGAGCAUAAAUACCCUGGCCUCACUUUUCGUUUUCUUUUUUUCUUUUUUUUUUUUUUGAGAUGGAGUCUCGCUCUGUGGUCCAGGCUGGAGUGCAAUGGCACGUUCUCUGCUCACUGCAACCUCCACCUCCCGGGUUCGAGCAAUUCUCCCGCCUCAGCCUUCCGAGUAGCUGGGACUACAGGCGCCUGUCACCAUGCCCGGCUAAUUUUUGUAUUUUUAGUAGAGAUGGGGAUUUUACCAUGUUGGCCAGGCUAGUCUGGAACUCCUGACCUCAGGUGAUCCACCCACCUCGGCCUCCUAAAGUGCUGGGAUUAUAGGCAUGUGCCACCGCGCCCAGCCAGGAAAGAGAUUUUCAAUUAGUUCGGCCUGGCUCUUUUCCCUCCUCCUUUUUCCUUCUGCCAGGAGUCCCCAUUGGCUGAAUACAACUGGAAACCGGAAGUCAAGUUGGGCUAGCCUCCAUACACACAAAGUAAGAUUGAAAAGGCUAGUCUCUGCCAGAGGGGACCUGGAGGAGCAUAGGGAAGCUAUCUAGCACAGGAUUGUUGCUGCAAUGUUUAGGAAAAAAGACACCACCAUCUGAGCUUAAAUCACAGCUUGUCAUAAACUGUGUGCUGUAUGACUUUGUGGAAGCCACUUGGCUGCUCUAAGCCAUGACAAUGUCUUAUUCUGUUAAAAUGAGGGAAAUAAUAUCUCUGUGAGAUUCACAGAGUUAUUGUGAGGAUAAGGUCAGUAUGUGUAACAUUUAGCCCAGUGCCUGGCACACAGUAAGUGCUAGAUACCUGGUAAAUUACUUUCCCUCCUCCAUAAAACCUAUUCCCUGCUUGCCUUUUUAAAACCAAGCCUAGAUAUCGACUUUCUUUUUCAGUGUUAGCAUGCAUUAGAGAAAUCCUCUUAUUUCUACAAGCCCUGGGCAAGUUUCAGGAUCAUUUCUAUAUCAGAUAUAGCACAGUAAUAAUUGCAUUAAGUCAGGAUAUUACUUAGGCAGAAAGCGUUUAUUUUUUAAUUCUUCAGAAAUGCUGCACAUACUGCAGGGACUAAUUUGACUCUUAGCAAAUAAUUCAGCAUAAAUUGCCACCUAUUUACCAGAAGCCACAUUUUAUUUCCUAGGACAUCUAGACAUUAGACAUCAGCUGUGCCCUAUAUGUUUGUUUCAGGUAAUGAGAUUCCCCCAGCAUGCAGAAAAUUUUCACUCCUUUGCCAUUUGGGGAAGCUCAAAAGAUUUACUAUAAGUCAGUUGCUCGUUCCAAGGAUUAGAGCAUUUUUACUUGUAAAACUGCACACCAAUUUGCAAUGUCAUUUCCAAGUUCUGAUGGAAAGUCUCUAAUGUAUUUCUCUUCUCAUUUAAUGUUUUUAUCCAUUAUCCUCUAGGCUGGAAUAUUUUCUGUUAUCCUAUUCACCCAGAGUAAUUCCAAAACAAUGGAGGCAAGGCCUCUAGAGGCAUCUGGACCGUGUCCAGGAUGCAGGCUUUCUCUGUGGUGCUCUGAUGACAAGGGGAAAAAAUCAAGGACGUUGAGCGCAGUUUUGAAAAAGUCUCACAAAAUGAUCAUAAUGCUUAAAUGUGUAUCCACUUUCUACUUUACUAAGUAACUUCAUAGCCAUUAUCUCAACUGAGGUGGGACAGGAAAAAUUACCUGCUUGCUCUUAACAGAUGAGUAAACCAGUUCUACAAGAUGUUAAGUAGUUUGCCCAGGGCCUUCCAAUAAUUUGGGUUGGCAAAGGAUGAGAAUAUAGGUCUUGAAAUUAUUCUAAAGUGCUUAUCCA